GCGCAGGUAGGGGCCGGCGGCCGCGGUAGUACAGGGGGCCGAGGGGUUGUUGGGAGUAACGGGGCGUAAGGGUGGGGUGGGUGGGGAGGUAAGUCGGAUGUGAAAGCUCCGAGCUCAACUCGGAAAUGGCAUUGGAAACUACCUUGCUCGAGGGUUGGAGGGGGGACUGGAAUACUUGGUGUAGCAGUGAAAUGCGUAGAUAUCAAGUGGAACACCAGUGGCGAAGGCGAGUCCCUGGACAACUCCUGACACUGAGGCACGAAAGCUAGGGGAGCAAACAGGAUUAGAUACCCAGUAGUC
rnacentral:rRNA from 1 species